rnacentral:misc_RNA from 1 species
AACCUAGCACACCUGCGGUGUGUACCUGCGGAAGGAUCAUUAACAAGCUGUGGGAGAUCGAUCAAUUUGAUCUCACACCUGGCCAACCUUGUUAACCUUAAAUAUAUUGCUUUGGUGAGCGCUGGCGGCUUUAGGGUUUAUAUUGAUCAAACAAUAUAUUUCCCAGACUAGUGCUCACCAAAGUCAAACCCUAAACUCUUGAUUGUUUCUGCUGUCUGAGCAUGCAAGUGCAAAAUUUAG